ACCACCUGAAAAGACUCCUCUCACAUGCGCAUGUUCGCUCUAUUGAUCAGUAGUCAUCAGGCUUGUUUGGGAAAGUUCACUUCUUGCUGACUAGAAAAGGGGGGACUCAUCCAUCCCUCUUCUUUCCUUCAGAAGACGGGGGUGGGGGAUUAACAAAAACAAAAGUCCCCAGUAGAUUGAGAUUUUCUACAUGGUAAAAAGAAACUAAGAGUACAAGCAGAAGGCAAAGCUUCAUUCCAGCAGAACUGCAGGAGGUCUUCUUGCUUCUAUGUGGACUUUGAGGUGUUAUUUGCUGCUGUUGCUGAACUAGGAAGGGCGCCCCCCCCCCCCCGGCUCCACUCCACAGAAAGGUUGAAUUUAAGUAAGACAGCAAACGCAGGGGUGGGGGGGGAGGAAUAACUCUGUAGAGAGGAAGGAGACAAAAAAGAAGAGUAGGCCAAAAAGGGUAAGGGGAGGAAGCGAAUAAGACAAGAAGUCUGUAAAAGGAAGGGGGCAAAAAAGGAGAGGAAGAGGAAAUCAGCAAGCAAGCACAGAGUCAAGUUUUUUAAGGGGAAGCAGGCAAGUGAGAGAAAGCACAAGCACCAUAGCAACCAGGAAGUCCAUGCAUGAGGGAGAGGAGACUAGAGCCGCUGCACUCGGCAGCCAGCAAGUGAUAUCCAGUUUUUUGAAGCACAAAAGCUGUUUAACAAACAGAUGCAUGUGAGGCAAUGACUGUCCUGAAUCAGUGCCUGGAUGCAGUAAUAGAUUGGAUGAGGAUAAACAAGUCGAGGCUUAAUCCAAACAAGACAGGAAUGCUGCUGGUCGGUGGUUCCUCUCUCUGCCCAGCCCAUGAUGUUAAGCUAUGACAAGAGGAUGGAGUGCGGCAAUUAAAUGUUAAUAAUGUGCUUCAGAUGUGCUUUAGCUACUCCAAAUGGGUACUUAAAAUAUGCCCUGAAUGGCCACGAUGCGAUUACAUUGAUAACUGUUGGAUGUUUAAUGUCUUUAAAAUGUUCAGCAUAAAUAUUUUAUACUAAAAGAUAGCAAACCUACUGGCCAUAAUUCUGAGGCUGCCUAGAACUUGGAAGUGCCCUGCUAAGGACAUUGGCUGACAUGCCAACUAAAUUUACUACAGAAAGGCCUACUGAAAUUCAGUAGUCCUUUAGAGUAACUCCUGAGUAGUGCUAUUGAGUAAUUUAGUCAGGAUGUCAGCCAUCCCUAAGCAGUAGAACAUUUGUCAUUUGUAACCCUGCCUACUUAUAUACUCUCAUGCACACUAAGGGCAUGUUCCUGCCAAAGUGAAGUACUUAAAUCAUCUCAUUGAAUUCAAUGAGAGAGUUAAGCACAUGUUUAGUCUUUCCCAUUGAAAUGUCAUAGGAUGUAAAGAGCUUAAAUUUGACUGGAUUGUAUCUUAACAAGUUGCUGAAGGCUGGGGCAACUUUACAAAGACCAAUGCUCUGAAGACUUAUGUGAUGCUGUCAAGGUGUGAAAUAUGAGCAGGUGUUGCCUUGUCAAUGAUGAAUAGAAAGAAGAGUGGGGAAAGUAGGCCUCUGAAGGAAGAGUGGGAAAUAAAUGCAAAACAUUUAAGGUAUGAUUGAGAACAACGUAUGUGCUUCUAAUUCCCCUUGAUUUUAAUGGGAGAGUUGAGCAGGUGCUCAAGUCUCUUCCACUGAAAUAAACAGGAAUCAAAAGUGACUAAUUCUGGCUAGAUCAUGCCCUUAGUAAAUAAUGAGAACUUCUGUAGGUUCUUGCCAUGUGUUACCCUUACCAAAAUAUCACAAUGAGACCAAGAGGUACCGUUUAAAGUGGUGUUUCUUAUAGUUGGUUUCACAUGUAGUGCCAAACUUGACGUUGACAAUAGCUGCUGGAGUCCCACCAAUGUGUGAGAGCCCUACUUUCAGUCCCAGUAACAAUAUGCUGAAUCUGGAUGUGUCAUACAUGAACCCACCAGCUUUGGCAUAUCCUUCCCUAUUUGCAGCAUAGGGCCAGACGUCUGUCCCUCACUUCAAAUAUAAGUCAUAGAUGUCUGGUUUUGUGUCGCAAGUAGGAUAUGCCGCGAUUGGUAGGUUCAUAUGGCAUGCUGAAUCUCAGCCUAUCAUUACUGAGACCAAACAUAGGGCUCAUGCGGUCUUCAUGGGGCUGUGUGGCAGUUCACAGCAACUUCAGGCUCGGUGCUGCACAUGAUGUCAACCAUUAUGUAGCAGUGGGAAAGCAACUGUUCCUAUCCAAACAAACAUAGUACCUCUCCAGUGGCUGUGGCUGCUGCCUCCUCUGGGGUGUAUGUAUGUUUAGACUGUGAGCCCUUUUGGGACAGGGAACCAUUUUCUCCCACCCUUGCUAUGUAAAGCACUAUGAGAAGUUUUUCUGAAAAGCAAUAUAGAAAUAUUUGUAUUAAUAUUAUUAUUUCAGUGGGUGAGAGUGAAAUACAUGCUUAUGUCUUCUCCUGGAAUCAGUGGGACUUAAAACAACCACUUUGGCGGGACCAUGUUUAUAGUUUGGAGAGGAAUAUUUAAUGGGCAUUUGGGCCUAUGAUGGGACAUGCCAUCACCACUAAAGAAUUCAUUUUCUUUUUACUUAAUAGUUUUCACCUGAAAUGUGCGAGCUGAUACAAUUCAAAGAAAUUGGAUUGAAAAUUGACUUAGUGCUCCAUGAACAAAAUUUCUUCCCAUUCACAGAAAGAGUUAGACUCAUGGGAGGGGUUCUUCCAUCAGCAACAGGGUUUGUCCAUUAAGCACAAAUCUCCAUCCAUGAUAGGAAGGAAUUGCUGUUUAUGCAACUCUAAGUUAGAAUCCAACCAAUAUGGGUUUUGUUUUGUUUUUAAAACCACAUUUUUAAACCCACCAACCUGCAUUUUGCGGGUACCGUGUUGUGCUCCUAAUGCUGUCAUUAGAAGAGAAGUUGGGCUUAUUAGGUUGGAAUCCUUAUACUGGUGCUGUAUUUUCCGGUUCUCGUUAAAAUUGGUUUUUGGACAGGCGGGUUUAGCCUCUUUGGUUAUGAGGGAUGGUUUCAAUUCAAGCUGGAAACAAGCUGUGUUGAGUAAGUUUUCUCUUUUUGGCCUUUCCAUAGAAGAUUUGCAUACUGUAGGAAUUGAGCAGGCUAGGAAGUUAGUUAAGCAACGUGUGCUGGAUAUAGAAAUUCAACAAGAAGUGCAUGGAUCAAGCAUGGUUUAUACUUUGAGAGUCAAGCUACUAAUUUUAAACCUGCUAAGUAUUUUGACGUUGUGCUUGUUCCUAAAUUUAUACGAGCUCUCCCUUUAGGGCAAUUAAAUGUUCUUUCCACAGCAGUAUUGGAAAGCAGAUUUAAGGGAGUUACGCUAUCUUUACAACUUUGCCCAUGUGGUAAAGGGGUUAUAGAAUCCACCUUGCAUGUUAUCCUUCAUUGUGAUUUUUAUAUUGAACCCUGUGUAAGACUUAUAUCUCCCAUGUUAGAUAAUUUGCCUGGUCGCCGGUCUGAUGAAUUUUAUUUAAAUUAUCUUUUAACUAAUGUGAAUAAUGAUAUUAUCUCUGUCAUGGCCAGAUUCUGUUAUAUUGUUUGUAAAAUGCAUACUGUUUUAAUUGUUUGUUGGUCAAUGACCGAAUAAACUUAUCUAUCUAUCUACCCACAAAAGGUUUAAGCAGGUAUAAGAAUAUAGAUUUUAACAGAAUUUUGGUUUUACUCCACUUUUGCUUUCUGGGUUAUUUGGUUUCACUGAGUCACGAUUUCAAAGUCAUAUCUAUAACCAAAACAAUUGUAUGCCUGCAGGCAGGGUCUGUUCUUUUAAAACUCAAUUAUUGUACAGCAUCUAGGUUUUUAUAAAUAAUGUAUAAUAAAGAAACAUGCAGGCCUUCUAAUAAUAUUAAUAUUUAUUAUUAUUAAUAUAAUGGGUUAUGCAUUUUUCCUUUGUAAUAGUUGGAUUAUUAGGAUUCAAACUUUAAAGAAACUUACCAGAAUCACAAGUUGCUGUCUCUCCAAAUGAUAUAACUAAAGCUCAGAUAAAACUGUCAUCUUUGCCAUUUGUGAUGAACUAUGGAAGUGCUUAUUAGCAAGUGAAAAUACAGUGAAUGUGGAUCCAGGAAUGGGGGAGAGGGAGAGGAAAGGCAGUAUUCCUAAACCCUGUAAAAUUAAAAUGUCAAACAGCACUGAGGCUGAAGGAGUAUUAUUAAUCCCUUUAAGAACAUCCUGGAUAAUAUUAUGUAAAGCCUGAUGUCUGUUAUUACCUCAGCAUUUGCCCCACAGGCUGUCCUUAUGCUGAUCAUCCUAACAGCUUUCAUAGCUGUGGGUCAAGAACUGCCACUCCUGUCAAAAGACAUUUUCUAAUGAACUUGCUGUGGGCAGCUGACGGAUGUGUCAGAAGUGCCUAGAGAAGGGAAAGGGAGGUGACAGUUUUGCCAUUACAGGACAAAAGGGUGGGUAAUGAAUAUUGCAACUGUGCAAAUGUGGCUGCUGGGGAAACACAUUUCCCUUUCAUGUAUCUAAGGGAUCUUUAGCACAUAUGUAAGCCUGAGGCAUGCACAGGAAUAACUAUUGCUGCAUAUACUGGCAUUAGAAUUCUCCUCUUAAUCACUUUUUCAAUACAUCUGAUUGAAUCAGCAGAUUCGUGCCAUAUUAUGCAUCUCAUAUCAGGCUGUACCACCUCAGAGUGCAGGUGAGGGAUUGAAUCCGGCUACCACCUGCUCUCUUUGUUAUCUGCAGUGUGAAGUGACACAAUCCAGCAAUAAUAAAAUAUUGCAUCCUCAAAUGCAUCUGCAUAUGAAAACAUACAAAACAAACUUAUCAGGAAAAGGCUGCAGGCUAGUCUUCUCCUUGAUGUGCUGGUUUUCUAUAUGCAGGGAGCUGUAGAUGCAGGGGAAAAAUCAAACAUGCUUGCUAACUCAAGUUUUAGUCACAUCUUGCUUGCACUACUGUAAAGCGUUGUGCAUGGGGCUGCCCUUGAAGAGUAUUUGGAAACUCCAACUUGGUAAAGCAGAUUUGUUUGUUUCUGGAUCCAGAUCAGGGUGCUGCUUGUCACCUUGAAAGCCCUAAAUGGCUUGGCCCCAUGACAUUUAAGGGACCCCCUACCUACUUAUUCAGAUAUUUUGGUAGGGUCUCUGCUCUGUGUGCCUGAACCAUCCAGAAUUGGGCUGAUGAGCAUGCAGAAUAGAGUCAGGGAAGUCACACUCACACACCAUGCUGCCAAGGCAGCAGUGGUGGCACGUGAGCAUCAGAAGGGUGGUGGCAGCAGGCAGGCCUAUAGGGUGGCAGUCAUGGUGAUGGGAGGCUGGUGCUUCUGCCCCUCUUUAUGCCCAUGUGACUGUCUCACACUGCCUCAUGAAAUGGUCGACCUUGCACAGAUCCUGUACCACUGCUGUGCCUAGGCUACAGAAAGAGCCACCCCAGGGAAGUUUCAGUAGUCACUGGGAAGCUUCAGUAGUCACUGAAAACAUGGCUCUUUCACCAUGCUUGUUAUCAGGUCUGAAUGGUAGGCUUCCUUAAAUUCUUGUUCUGUGUUGCAAGUGAUCUGUAUUUUAAGAUCUGCUGUAGUCCUUUUUUGUUGUUGUUCUUUUUGAAACUGUAAAUAUAUUUAUUGUUCUUUCUAAACUUUCAUAAUCUGCUUUGGGUGCACUGCUGCCAAAAAGUGGGAAACACAAUAUUAUAAUAAAUAAAAAGCUGCCCCCUCUGUAGCCCAAAGGGACACAGUUCAAGAAAACUUAUCAUUUGCUUGUUUCUGGUGAUGAUUGUAUGAGCUGUUCCUUAGUUGGCAAGCAUUAAAAAAAAAAUCCCCACUUCACCUGUUAUACAAGGCUGUUCUGUUUCACACAUGUUACCAAUAUGAUAACAAAACUAUUCCUUACUUGUGUUAGCACAGGGCUUGACAAAUCCCAGGCACCAGGGUGCCAAGGCACCUAGAAAUUUAACUGUGGUACCUAGACUAGUAGAGUUUAUUAAAUAGAAACUGUCUUUGUCCCAGGCAGCCCUGUUUUUGUUCUGUUACAUGUAAAGGGGUGUAGUGGAUUAAAGCCUUUGUCUCAGAACAAGCUCAUGUGAGAGAAAGAAAAUGCUGAAUCAUUCCUGCUGAACUGCCUGGCUAGGCUUCUCCUAGAACUAUUCUGCAUAAUUGGUAGGUUCAAAAUGCUGCCACCAAGCACCCUGGUCACUAUGCACACACCCUCCUUAAAUUGAGACUUGUGGCUGGAAAUGGGAGUUGACAGUUCCAGUCUCAAAAAGGUUGGAACACAAAGCUUAACUUCCUAACUUAAUUAGGAACACAUACAAAACAAUAAUAAACCAGAAUAUUAUAGAUCAAUAAAAAACAAAAUUUAGAUCCUUAAAUGGAACUUGCUAGAUACAGAACUAUUGUAUUUGAGACACAAGACUGGAUUUCAACGACAGAAAAGCCAAUCAAAUAUUUGGGGAUUAAUAUAACAGCAAAUAACAAAAAGACUUGUUUAAGAAUAAUUAUUUACCUUUGUGGAGCCUUAUUAUGGCAGAUCUAACCAGGUGGAAAAAAUUAACUCUUUCUUGGCUGGGAAGCAUAGCAUCUGUCAAAAUGAAUAUUUUACCAAGAAUGGACUUUUUAUUUCAAAGGAUCCCUAUUAAAAUUGAGGAUAAGGCACUGAAUACGUGGCACAGUAGAAAUUCUUUUAUCUGGGUUAAUAAAAAACCAAGAAUUAAGUUCAGGGUCAUGCAAGAUGUAAAAGAAUGGGGAGGACUGGCUGUCCUUAAUUUGAAGUUAUAUCACCAUGCCAGUUGUUUGAAAUGGAUUUCAGACUGGAUUAGAGAACCAUAUGGUUCGAUGAUGGCUAUGGAAGGGUCUGACCUUCGAGAAGGGCAACAUAAGUAUUUAUGGACUAAUACAAAAAGGAAAGAUCAUGACAUAAAAUCCCAUACAAUUAGAAGUAGUUUAUUACAUGUUUGGGACAAAUAUAAGAACAGGAUAAGUCUGGAGCUAUUGCCUUUGGCAUCUAUCUUAAAUAUCUUUUUUCACGGAGAAGAAAAUUCUAGAAACUUUACCCACUGGAGAGAGAAGGCAUAUAACUUGCAAAGCUUAACUAUAGGAAAAACUAUAGGAAAAACAAAAACGAAACCCAUCCAGACUCUUGCUUUGGAAUGGUCCAAAAAGCCGUCAUGGUUUCAAUUAGUACUACAGUGUAGAAAGAAAUACAAAGACAAGGUGGCAAACUUAGAGACUUAACAGAAUUCGAAGUAUUAAUUACUAAAAAUACUGAUCAUUUACUGGGAUUGAUAUAUAAGUUGCUAUAGAAAUAUGAUUCAGAAACAGAUCAAAUAUGAUCCAAUAUGAUUCAGAAACAGAACAGGUAAAAGACUGUAUGAUUAAGUGGAUGCAAAAUUUAAACAGGACAACUUACAUGCAACAAUGGGAAUAUCAAUGGAAGGUGAACAUUAAAUUUACAGCAAAUAGCACCUUAAGGGGAAAUUGGUAUAAAAUGUAUUUCCGCUGGUAUAUUACUCCUAUGAUGAUUGCAAAGAUAGACAGUAAUUAUUCUUGAGAUUGUUGGAAGUGUAAGAGCCAUGACGGGACAUUUUAUCAUAUGUGGUGGACAUGUAGCAAAGCCCAACAAUUCUGGGGGGAAGUUCACCGUAAGAUGCAAGAAAUGUUAAACAUAAUUUUCCAUUAUUCUCCAGAGGUUUUUUGUUGUUGCUGUUGUUGUUAAAUAUGACCAAAUCCUAUAUUCCUACCAAGUAUACGGAGCUGUCUUUGUAUUUGAUUACUGCAGCCAGGAUCUUAUACACCGCUAACUGGAGACAACAAAUAAUCCCAAGUGUAGAUGAGUGGUUAUUAAAGCUAUGGGAAUAUGCCCCUAUGGCUAAGGUUACUUAUGGAAUACUUCAGAUGAAACAUUUGUUUCAGUUUGGGAACCUUUCAUAAUUUGCAAUUUAGCACAGAGUCAACACCCUCAUCCAAGAUUUGGUUUUUCUUUCUAGAAUAAACGGCCAAUUAAAGUGUUAUCUCUGCUUUUUUACAAUUCUUGGCAAGGGUAGGUGUGUGUGUGUGUGUGUGUGUGUGUGUGUGUGUGUGUGUGUGUGUGUGUGUUGGGAGAGUUGAGUACAGAGGGCUGUUGAAUUCCCGAAUGAUGUAUGUAAUUAUGAGAUGUUCAAGAAAAGUUAACUGUAAAGCUACUUUUAUCUUUCUUCUUUUUCUAUGUUCCUUUCCUAUUUCUGUUAUCGUGUUGGAAAAAUAAUAAAAAGAUAUUUUUAAAGAAAAACAGUAAUAAACAAUAACA